AGGAAAUAGAUACCCCGGUAGUCCACGCCCUAAACGAUGUCGACUAGGUGUUCGGUGAGGAGACUCAUUGAGUACCGCAGCUAAACGCGUGAAGUCGACCGCCUGGGGAGUACGGUCGCAAGAUUAAAACUCAAAGGAAUUGACGGGGACCCGCACAAGCGGUGGAUGAUGUGGAUUAAUUCGAUGCAACGCGAAAAACCUUACCUACCCUUGACAUGUACGGAACCCUGCUGAGAGGUGGGGGUGCUCGAAAGAGAGCCGUAACACAGGUGCUGCAUGGCUGUCGUCAGCUCGUGUCGUGAGAUGUUGGGUUAAAGUCCCGCAACGAGCGCAACCCUUGUCAUUAGUUGCUACGCAAGAGCACUCUAAUGAGACUGCCGGUGACAAACCGGAGGAAGGUGGGGAUGACGUCAAGUCCUCAUGGCCCUUAUGGGUAGGGCUUCACACGUCAUACAAUGGUCGGUACAGAGGGUUGCCAAGCCGCGAGGUGGAGCCAAUCCCAGAAAGCCGAUCGUAGUCCGGAUCGCAGUCUGC
rnacentral:rRNA from 1 species